CACAGAGCCAGGCAAACAGGUGUGUGGUGGCCGUGAGCUCAGGGCUGCAAACAGACGGGGACCUCUCACUGCCAGGAGGGUCACAGAAAACCUGUGUCUUCAACCAACCCUGAGGAGGACACUGCAGAGGACACUGCGCAAUGACAGACGUUCUAAUUCACAAAAAGAAGGGAACGAGUAAUCCUUCACUGGAGGUCCGUGGAUGACAGAGAAGUGGCACCAGCAGUCUCUCCCUCGCGUUCUGCCCAGAGAACGUUUAGGUCACGGUCAAUAAUGGCCUAAGUCACGCUGUGACUGGAGAACACACUUCCGCAGUCACACGAAGCAGGAUCGGAAGGGGCUCCAAGUAUGGGGACCCCUACGGACCAGCCUUCCUGCUGCCACUGAACUCACACACCUGACACACCCACACCGACACACACUCACCAACCCACCACCCCUACACAUGUACCAACACACAUCACAUACACAACACACGCAUCAACACACAUCACAUUACAGCACACCCCCCACACAUCGAAACUCACACCCCCACAUGCACCAACACACAUCAUGUAUGCAACACAUACCCCACACAUCCAAACACACACGCCCCACACAUCACAUAUACAGCAACCCCCCACACACAACCAAACACACACCCCCCACCCACAGCAACACACAUCACAUCACACAUACAGCACCCCGACCCCAACACACACACACCCCUUCGGGGAACCCCUAAGCAGAGUCUUGCUCAUCAUUCCAGUCUUCUGAUGUUGGCAGAGAUGGCACGUGGAGUGGGACACUGGCAGGUGGCAAAUGCCAUGUCCCUUCAUGAGGCUUCCAGUGCCUCGCACCCCACUCCCUCCCCAGGGCUUGUGCACCUGUCUGACAAGGGCAGAGCUCAGGCUUUUCUGCCGGGAUGGGAGCAGCGGCAGAAAGGUGAUGGCCCAGCCCCUCAAGUCAACAACGGGGCCCUGAGUCUCCCUCCCAACUCAGAGAAAGGGACGUGGCUCCUCAAAAGCGAAUACCUUCCCUGUUGCACUGGACACGGUCCCUUCCUGCCACCAGAGGAAACCCACCAAACACACUCCUCAAAUGCCCACUGAAUGGGCAGUUUGUGCUGGGCCUCCACAUGGCUACAGGGGUGGAAAGCAGACAACUCGUGUUCCCAAGGCGCCUGGGACUACAGCUCAUCAUCGACAGCUAACGACGACGCCAGGCCAAAGAAAGCACAUGCUAGCUGGGAGCACAUGAACUGGGCAGGAAGCCGGGGAGGGCGUGAUGGUUACUAAGGGCACCGACGUGAGGGGCGCACAGGCGGCCACCUCACUCAGCCCCUGGAACAAAUUCAGGAGGUGCUGCCGUAUUUCACUCGUAAGAGAAAACAACCAUGAGGCUCAGAGAGGUUUGGGAACUCACCUUAAGCCACACAGCAGUAAAGCAGCAGAUCUGAACUCACAUCUGUCAAGGCAGGGAUGAAGAGAAGAAGCAGGAGAAAUGAUAAUGACAGCCGUGGGCCGAGCGCUGGCGUGGGCCAGGCACGCGCUGAGCAGCGUCCACCGGCUCUCCUCGCUGCGGGAGACCUUUGUGCCCUGAGCUCCUCAGUGUGAAGACGACGUUAUGGGCACACGACUAGCGUGUUCGAAACGUCUCAGAAGCAGAGAAGGGGUUAGUGGCCCAGCGGAUGGCACUGUCUCCAGGCCGCCAGGUUCCCUAGGCAGAGGUCCUGCUGUGCUCGGCGCCGUCUUCCUGCUGGGAAGUCAUUUCUAAUUUUCUGUAAAGGUACAAUGGGACCUGACAGGUGUUGGCUGAUUUCAGGGAACUCAUCUGUUAAAAGCCGCGUCAGCUGUCUUCAGGUUUUAAAUUGAAAUCUCACAGGUGGAGAGGCGAGUCAGAAAGAACAUUUUUGGUGGGAUGUGUCUGCUCCCCAAAAAGCGGAGGGAAGGGGCUUUCAUGAUCCAGGGUUUUGGUGGAAAUUAAAAUAACUCUGGCUGGGGCCGCCAGUGUCGGAAAGUGAGACACGUGGACAAGGUGAAAUCUCGACAAGGCUCUUUACUUCUGCAGAAGGGCGCGGGUGCUCAAAAAGUGUGCGUGCCCAACAAAGGACCCUCCCCUGUUGACCCCUAACGCAGAUGAUGUACCUGUUGGCUAAUCUGAAACAAACUGUUGCUGGGAGAGAAGUAAGGAGGGAGCGGGGUCGCAGGGGUGUUUCUGCUGAAACCGGAUCAAAAUGGAGCAACCAAGAUUUCCUUUAAUAGAAAAGACAUCAUGUUACUUUCCACAGUCCCGAGGAGCCGUGCCGGCUGCCCUGGGCCCGAGGUUUAGGUCAACAGGGAAGGGACCUGGAGGAGAGACUACAGGCAGCGGCGCACAGACGGGUUCCUGGAGGGUGACACCGUGAGCUGAGCCGCAAGGACACGAGGCCACCAGUACCAUUCAUCCCUUCAUUUGGCCCGUUGGUCACCUGCUCCUGCAGCAAAGGAGCCUGGGGGAGUAGCUCCUACACUGUCCCCUCGGCAUGUGGCGGAGACCACCUCGCCUCCACCUCCGCCCUCGGCUCCUGACACUCAUUCAGGCCCCUCCCGCGGCUCAAGCACCUUCUUAGCCGAGAGGAUUCAAGUCUGCCUGAAAAGGUAUUUCCCCUCUAUUCCCUUUCCAUUCAAAAUGCCACAUGUAAUUGGUGGGGAAGACAAAACCGGACUCCCCGGGGCAUGGGACGGAGCUCCCAUUUUAGAGCUUUUGCGGUGAAAACCAUGGUCUUUCUGACCUUGACCGUGGCUGCCAGCGUCUGUUUUGGACCCCAUGUCAUUUGAGUCUGCUCAGGCCCACCCAGUCCCCACACGAGCUCGGCCCAAACAAAGGCACAGGAGACCAACACCCUUGGGGACCCUCAGAGCCACAGCUGCCUUCUUUCCGGGGCACGAUCCCAGAGGCUACGGCAGGCUCCUCGGAGGGAGAAUGGGGCAGCCCCCCCAGUUCCUCCUGGUAUCAACCCCCUUCCCUGCCUUCUGCUUCCUGAGCUCUUCCGCCAGACAGACGCCCUGUAACCAAGCCCUGUCUCAGGCUCUGCUUUUGGGGACACUUAACCCAUGAUGAUUGCGUCUACAAUGUCACCAUCUCCAUCCCUGCCCAGGACCCAACCCCAGAGCCCCGUUCCUCCAUCGGCUCUAACACCCGGUGAGCCAGCAGCGCAGGGCACCAAGGGAGAAAGGGCGCGCUGGGCUCCACCUGCCCUGAGAGGCCAUGGCUGGGCACAUCCCCUGGGAAGGCGGGUGAGGGGUGAGGAAAGGAUGCCCCAUCUGUCCUCGCUGUUCAGAGACCCCAGCCGUGGGAGGCCACGGGCAGGAGAGAGAGGGUCCAUUCCUUGGACUCGGAACAUCCCAGCGGCCCCGGGAGAGGGGCACAGGGACUCCAGGGCAAUGCGCUCCGCCUUCUCGCUUUCCACGUCCAAGCGGCGCGGAUGUGGACGAGGGCAGUGGCGCCUGGCACACCCACCGCUGGCUCCCCGGGGACAGCUCAUUCCAUUCCAGAUGUGGGGGCCAAGCUGCAUAGCUGAGGGCACUCCUACUCGUUUCUUGAAACCUCAGCACAAAGCACAGUGUCUGGCACAUCUUCGGAAUUCAAAAAAUUACUUGUUCGGCGCAUAAAUGAGGGUUAUGGUCCUGAACCCAGCUUGGGUUCCAGGGAGAGCUCGGUGGCUCCUCAGCAGCAAGCGCUACAACAACAGCAAAUUAUGCACAAGUAAAGUCUGCUAAUGUCUCUGCCGCCCACGCUUCCUCACCCCCACGCACCCCCCACCCGCCCGCAGAGCCCUUCCUGUCGCCCGCGCCAACCACUUUUGGAUCGUCACUGUCACCACCAUCGAGGCAUAAGGUGUUUGACCACAAAAAAAAAAGGCAUAAGGUGUUUGACCACAAAAAAAAAAAAGUCUAACAACGAGGCCCCCCGGAGGGGCAACUAGCCACUCAGGUGGAAGGCCAGCAGCGCCACACCAGGCUGUCAAGAGUGGGCCCACGUCCCCCGUUUUGAUGGGGCAGAUAGUAACCCCCUCUGGAGGAUGACAGGCUCUGGGAUCCUAGAGCAGCAGUUCUCGAAGGACAAAAUAAUUCUAAAAGUUUAAAUAAAUGAAAACACUGGCAGGAAACCUCUGGAGGUGAUGGGUCUGUUUGAGGCAUACAUGAGUUUCGCAAGAGGACAGACUUUUCUCCAAACUCAUCAAGUUGUACACAUCAAAUAUGUCCAGUUUUUCUAAGUCAAUCAUACCUCAAUAAAGUGGCUUUAAAAAAAGAAUGAGGGAGUCCCGUAGUGGCUUGCCAGUAAUGAACUCGACUAGUAUCCAUGAGGUUUUGGGCCUCGAUCCCUGGCCUUGCUCAGCGGGUUAAGGAUCUGGCAUUACUCUGAGCUGUGGGGUAGGUCGCAGACUCGGCUCAGAUCCCUUGUUGCUGUGGCUGUGGUGUAGGCUGGGCUACAGCUCCAAUUUGACCCCUAGCCUGGAAACUUCCAUAUACUGAGGGUGUGGCCCUAAAAAGACAAAAAAAAAAAAAAAAGCUGCAGAGCUGGUAUUAAAUCUGUGUCACCUGGCCCCACCCCCAGAGAGCCUGCUGGUUAGAUUCAUUUUGCAACCCAGGAAUCUCCAUUUUGAACAAGCACGUGGGUGACACUGCGGCAGGAAGGGCUUUGGAUCACACUUGGAACGGGUUUAUACGCUGAGCCCAAGAGUGGUUCCAGCCCUACUGUCCUCAGGCUUGGGGACAUGCAGCAGGGCUGAAAACUGGGCUACUUUCCCAGGGAGUCGACACGGCUUCUGCACCUGGGCUCUUGACCUCUGGCUCAUGCGAUCUGUGAAGGCAUACAGUUUUUCAAUGUCUUUGAAGUUGUGCGUGUUUGGUGCAUGUGUCCGUGCGUCUCCCUCCCCGUGGCAGGCACCUAUGGAUGUCAGCAUCUUUGCUGUCACCGAGGUGUUUGCAGACACACCUAGGUCUGCAUGUGUCACGAUGGGCUUACACGGUGUUAACUGAAUUUAUUCAUGUGACUGUGUGUGCAUGCAUGUGUGUUUCACCUGGGCAGAGAAACACUCACACACACAGAGAUGCAGAGAGGCUCUCGCUUUAAUUAUUUCACACCACAGAAGACCUUAAUUUCAAGGUAUUUCACCACAUGACUCAAGGCCCGAGAGACAAGCAAGGGAAAAGUGAUGAUCACGUAACAGCCCAGGUAACUGCUUGCUUCUCCUCAGAGAAGAAACUGCAACUAAAAGCCUUCAUAUAUUUCUUGGUUUUUGGUUUUGUUUUUUAUUUUGUCUUUUUAGGGCUGCGCCUGCAGCACAUGGAGGUUCCCAGGCUAGGGAUCGAAUCGGAGCGGUAGCCACCUGCCUACACCACAGCCACAGCCACGCCAGAUCCGAGCCACACCUGUGACCUACACCACAGCUCACGGCAAUACAAUGCCAGGUCCUUAACCCACUGAGCGAGGCCAGGGAUCGAACCCGCAACCUCAUGGUUCCCAGUCAGAUUCGUUUCCACUGCACCAGGACGGGAACUCCAGUCUUCACAUAUUUCUACCCACCUCCCCCACGCGGGUGAAUGAGACUGUGAGGGAGUUGAAUAUUUCACCCGAUAUUCUCAAGUGUAAACUAGCACCUUUUUCCAAUGUAUCUGCUAGUAACAAAUGGUAAAUUAAUUGAAAAGGCUAAUGCCUUAAUGCAGUUGCUUUCAGAACUUGUCUUGUCAAUCCAACUCAACUUCCAGUCAGAAAUCUUUUCCACCUUGUAAUGUGCACACACGACACUUUUUCUGAAACUGUUUUUAAGGUUUCAUUAAGCGAUGCCCCCUUUCUAAAAAACAUUGCUAUCGUUGGUGUACAACGCUCUGUCAAUUUGUGCUGCACAGCAAUGUGACCCAGUUAUACAGGUACAGACGUUCUUUUUCCACGUUAUCCUCCACACGUUCCAUGCUCCAUCACAAGUGAUGAGACACGGUGCCUCAGAGUACGGGGUCAUCUUUCCCGUUGAUGGGGAGGGGAUGACGGAGGGUUCCCACUGUGGGCUGAGGCCACGGCCAGUCCACGGGGGCUGAACCAUAGACCGAACCCCCAACUCCGGCCAACUGUCCUAAGUGGAUUCCCCCCAGGAGUGUGAGUGGCUCACAGCUGAGACUGUACCCAUCUAAUGACUCAGGGGGACACAGUCAGCUGGGGACGGACGGGGCUGGGGCUGGAGCUAAAGUCUCUCGGGUCUCCUUCCAGAGCCUAUUGCGUGACAGCAGGGGAGGGACUUGAGACCAGGUCCUGGAGACCCGAGAUGCACCGUUGUGCCUUAGGGAAAGCCGGGCCUGUCAACAAAAGACAGCGGAGCAAACACACAACUCUUCCCUCUAAGGCAGCUCUGCAAUCUCACUACCAGAGUUUCAAAGCACUGAACGUGUCCACAUUUAUACUGCGGGUGGGGGUAGGGGGAUUAGAACCCAGAGCCCCUUCUUUUUAUUCAGGAAUAACUGCUCUUGUCUCCUAGCCUCUGGGUCGCCCCCACCCGCCCAGCUUCUCAUGCUGCAUCCAACUGAUUAACCUCACCGACAUCCUUAGCUUCACCAACUCACUCCUUUAUUAAAUCCAAGCCCUCUCGCCUCCAUCCAAACGCUCCCUUGUCGGACCUCCCUCACCCAACCCUUACAGGUGUCACUGUAGUGCCCCUGGGAACUUUCACAUGCUGAAGGUGCAGCCCUAAAAAACAAACAAACAAACAAACAAAACAAACAACAAAAAAGAUGGACCUCAAGAGUCCUUCAAUAUGGCUCUUGUUCUAUAAACUUUUCCUAUUAAACGAUCUUGCAAAAGC
rnacentral:lncRNA from 1 species